rnacentral:tRNA from 1 species
UGUGGCUCAGUGGUAGAGCACUUGCCUAGAAAGUGUGAGGCCCUGGGUUCAAUCCUCAGCA